rnacentral:rRNA from 1 species
AUUGAACGCUGGCGGCAGGCCUAACACAUGCAAGUCGAGCGGCGCGGCAGACGGGUGCGUAAUGCCAAGGUUUCUGCCUGGUAGUGGGGGAUAACGUACGGACACGGGCGCGGAUACAGCAUACGUUCAGCUGAGCCUAGUGCGGAUUAGCUAGUUGGUGGGGUAAAGGCCUACCAAGGCGCCGACCCGUAACUGGUCUGAGAGGAGGAUCAGUCACACUGGAACUGAGACACGGUCCAGACUCCUACGGGAGGCAGCAGUGGGGAAUAUUGGACAAUGGUCGAAAGCCUGAUCCAGCCAUGCCGCGGGUGUGAAGAAGGUCUUCGGAUUGUAAAGCACUUUAAGUUGGGAGGCGUUACCAACAGAGUAAGCACCGGCUAACUUCGUGCCAGCAGCCGCGGUAAUAC